rfam:Bombyx mori DNA, contig: Bm_scaf27_contig17871, strain: p50T/Dazao, build 2, whole genome shotgun sequence.
UAAAAGUUAGUUCAUAUUUGUAUGGAAUGGGACCGUUUGCCGCUAGAGGCGCUGUUCCAGCUGCAUACAAAAUUGGGCUA